rnacentral:rRNA from 1 species
UACAGAGGGGUCGAGCGUUAAUCGGAAUUAUUGGGCGUAAAGGGCGCGUAGGCGGUCCGGUAAGCGUGUGGUGAAAGCCCGGGGCUCAACCCCGGGUCUGCCGUGCGAACUGCCGGACUCGAGCACUGUAGAGGCAGGUGGAAUUCCGAGUGUAGCGGUGGAAUGCGUAGAGAUUCGGAGGAACACCGGUGGCGAAGGCGGCCUGCUGGGCAGUGUCUGACGCUGAGGCGCGACAGCGUGGGGAGCAAACG